AUUGAACGCUGGCGGCAGGCCUCAAACAUGCAAGUCUAGGGGGUGUAGCAAUACAUCACCGGCGGACGGGUGCGUAACGCGUGGGAAUAUACCUAUCGAUUCGGAACAACUGAGGGAAACUUCAGCUAAUACCGAAUACGUCCUAACGGAGAAAGAUUUAUCGUCGAUAGAUUAGCCCGCGUUCGAUUAGCUAGUUGGUGGGGUAACGGCCCACCAAGGCGACGAUCCUUAGCUGGUCUGAGAGGAUGAUCAGCCACACUGGGACUGAGACACGGCCCAGACUCCUACGGGAGGCAGCAGUGGGGAAUAUUGGACAAUGGGCGAAAGCCUGAUCCAGCCAUGCCGCGUGAGUGAUGAAGGCCUUAGGGUUGUAAAGCUCUUUCGCCAGGGAAGAUAAUGACGGUACCUGGAAAAGAAGCCUCGGCUAAACUCCGUGCCAGCAGCCGCG
rnacentral:rRNA from 1 species